CCUACGGGAGGCAGCAGUGAGGAAUAUUGGUCAAUGGCCGGAAGGCUGAACCAGCCAUGCCGCGUGAAGGUCAAUGCCCUAUGGGCGUUAAACUUCUUUUGUGCGGGAGCAAUAAUGGUCACGUGUGGCCAGACGAGAGUACCGUACGAAUAAGCAUCGGCUAACUCCGUGCCAGCAGCCGCGGUAAUACGGGGGAUGCAAGCGUUAUCCGGAUUUAUUGGGUUUAAAGGGUGCGUAGGCUGUGAGGUAAGUCAGCGGUGAAAUGCCCCCGCUCAACGGGGUGAAGUGCCAUUGAUACUGCCUGGCUGGAAUGCGGAUGCCGUGGGAGGAAUGUGUGGUGUAGCGGUGAAAUGCAGAGAUAUCACACAGAACACCGAUUGCGAAGGCAUCUCACGAAUCCGCGAUUGACGCUGAUGCACGAAAGCGUGGGUAUCAAACAGGAUUAGAUACCCUGGUAGUC
rnacentral:rRNA from 1 species